rnacentral:rRNA from 1 species
GAUGAACGCUGGCGGCGUGCCUAAUACAUGCCAGUCGAGCGAACGGACGAGAAGCUUGCUUCUCUGAUGUUAUCGGCGGACGGGGGAGUAACACGUGGAUAACCUACCUAUAAGACUGGAAUAACUUCGGGAAACCGUAGCUAAUACCGGAUAAUAUUUUGAACCGCAUGGCUCAAAAGUGAAAGACGGUCUUGCUGUCACUGAUAGAUGGAUCCGCGCUGCAUUAGCUAGUUGGUAAGGUAACGGCUUACCAAGGCAACGAUGCAUAGCCGACCUGAGAGGGUGAUCGGCCACACUCGAACUGAGACACGGUCCAGACUCCUACGGGAGGCAGAAGUAGGGAAUCUUCCGAAAUGGGCGAAAGCCUGACGGAGCAACGCCGCGUGAGUGAUGAAGGUCUUCGGAUCGUAAAACUCUGUUAUUAGGGAAGAACAUAUGUGUAAGUAAUUGUGCACAUCUUGACGGUACCUAAUCAGAAAGCCACGGCUAACUACGUG